rnacentral:rRNA from 1 species
GAUGAACGCUGGCGGCGUGCUUAAUACAUGCAAGUCGAACGGAAAGGCCCUGCUUUUGUGGGGUGCUCGAGUGGCGAACGGGUGAGUAAAACGUGUGUAACCUGCCCUUGACUUUGGGAUAACUUCAGGAAACUGGGGCUAAUACAGGAUAGGAGCUCCUGCUGCAUGGUGGGGGUUGGAAAGUUUCGGCGGUUGGGGCUGGACUCGCGGCUUAUCAGCUUGUUGGUGGGGUAGUGGCUUACCAAGGCUUUGACGGGUAGCCGGCCUGAGAGGUUGACCGGCCACAUUGGUACUGAGAUACGGCCCAGUCUCGUACGGGAGGCAGCAGGGGGGAAUAUUGCACAAUGGGCGGAAGCCUGAUGCAGCAACGCCGCGUGCGGGAUGACGGCCUUCUGGUUGUAAACCGCUGUCGCCGUUGACGAAGCGUGAGUGACGGUAAUGGGUAAAGAAGCACCGGCUAACUACGUG